rnacentral:rRNA from 1 species
GAUGAACGCUGGCGGCGUGCCUAAUACAUGCAAGUCGAGCGAACAGAUGAGGAGCUUGCUCCUCUGACGUUAGCGGCGGACGGGUGAGUAACACGUGGAUAACCUACCUAUAAGACUGGGAUAACUUCGGGAAACCGGAGCUAAUACCGGAUAAUCUAUUGAACCGCAGGGUUCAAUAGUGAAAGACGGUUUUGCUGUCACUUAUAGAUGGAUCCGCGCCGCAUUAGCUAGUUGGUAAGGUAACGGCUUACCAAGGCAACGAUGCGUAGCCGACGUGAGAGAGUGAUCGCCGACACUGGAAGGGAGACGCGGUCCAGGCCCCUACGGGACGCAGCAGUAGGCAAUCUUCCGCAGUAGGCGAAAGCCUGACGGAGCAACGCCGCGUGAGUGAUGAAGGUCUUCGGAUCGUAAAACUCUGUUAUUAGGGAAGAACAAAUGUGUAAGUAACUAUGCACGUCUUGACGGUACCUAAUCAGAAAGCCACGGCUAACUACGUG